rnacentral:tRNA from 1 species
GAGGUUAUAGCUCAGUAGGUAGAGUGCUUGCUUCAUAUGCAAAGCCCUGGGUUCAAUCCCCAUCACCACA